rnacentral:tRNA from 1 species
CAAAUUAGAGCUUGUUAUAAAGUAUUUUAUUUACAUUAAAAAGUGAGUUGUGAGAAUCAAUUUGAUUUGA